AGUGAACGCUGGCGGCGUGCCUAAUACAUGAAAGUCGAACGGAGUGGCGCACGGGUGAGUAAUGUAUAGCUAAUCUUCCCUUCACUAGAGGACAACCGUUGGUAACGACUGCUAAUACUCUAUAGUGUAGGAUGAGGCUAUAUUGUAUCAGCUAGUUGGUGAGGUAAUGGCUCACCAAGGCUAUGACGCAUAACUGGUCUGAGAGGAUGAUCAGUCACACGGGAACUGAGACACGGUCCAGACUCCUACGGGAGGCAGCAGUAUGGAAGCUUGCUCAAUGGGGGAAACCCUGAAGCAGCAACGGCGCGUGGAGGAUAACACGUUUCGGAGCGUAAACUCCUUUUGUUAGGGAAGCGGUACCUAACGAAUAAGCACCGGCUAACUCCUUGCCAGCCGCCGCGGUAAUUC
rnacentral:rRNA from 1 species